GGGGCUCCCGUGCAAUCCCUUGCUCGCUAGGACCCAGGAGCAGCUGAGAUGCGGCUCUGGGUGCGAUCGCUGGGGUCACUCAGUCCCGGCACCGGGAAGUGAAUUGCUCUGGUUGCAGUGACUGGGGCGCUCUGGGGAGCCCACCCUCCUUGCAAGAUCCUUGAGCCCCAGCGGCUGCUGCUGGGGACCUCGGAGCCCUGGCUGCAGCCGGGAGAGGUGAAUCUCGAGUAGUAACAUUCCCGCUGCUCCCAGGAACCUCUCUCAGUGCAGAGACCCCAGCCUGGCCAGGACCCCCCUUCCCGGGCCCCAGCCCCUGCUCCCAGGGAGGGCACCGCUUGGAGGGAAGGCUGCAGAAUAAGGACAACGUGUUACUCCAGAUCAUCCAAUUUUCCUAGGGUACGGGGAAGGGAAAUGGCUAUGGUGGAGCCAGCUCAGAUGCCGGUGACCUUCGAGGAUGUGGCUGUGUAUUUCACUGAGGGGCAGGGGGCUCUGCU